GGUAGCUAAGAUGGCCCCUUGGGGAGAUGCGGAGAAGAUUUAAACCGGAGACUUGGGAGCUACAGAAAAAUUUUCUAGUUCAUUUUGAACUUCCCUAGGCUAAACGUUGUAGGAAGCACUGGAUUUAUUAACAAGCACAAGAUGAAGAAUCUUCUGUUCAUUGUGCACGUUGUGACAUCCUGAAAUCCUGCACCUGAGUGAGGAAAACAUCUCAAUUAUGAAAAAAAUCUUACCUGUCUUUUAAACUGUAGUUUUCAUUUUACUUCAGUGGCCAUGACAGCUGCAUUGUGAGUCAUGUACUCUUCAGGAACUCUUUUUGAAUGCAUUGCAUAUCAGAAGAUGUCCAUGAACCUAUGGAUAACAAGAGAAGGAGCCUAGUCAUUUGACUGAUAAAUACUCACCAUAGCCUUUGGCACGUGUUUGCUUGGUUCGUAGUUGGUACUACUCUACGUGGAGUUUAUGAAACAUAUGGGUGUGGAUCUUUUAUAAAAGGAGUAUAUUACUAUCAACAAGUUUUAGAGUUAAUAGAUACCAUCCUACUUGCAUUUUACCCAUUUUGCUUCCAGUGUGAAUGCAAAUGAGAUCUUCCAGCCUCCUUUUCUGGUUAUCUGUUAACAUGCCUUACCCUCCUUUAUCUACUUCCUCCAUUAUGUAUGCUUCCUUUGGAGUAAUUAACCUAAGUAAACAAUACCUUUCAUAACUUGGCUCAGUCAUGGUAUUUUACCAUAGCAACAAAAGUCACUCAUACUCAUGC